GCCCGGGUGAUGGAAAGGCAGACAUAUCGGACUUAAAAUCCGAUGGCCGCAAGGCCGUGCGGGUUCGACCCCCGCCCCGGGCACCC
rnacentral:tRNA from 1 species